rnacentral:rRNA from 1 species
AUUGAACGCUGGCGGCAUGCUUUACACAUGCAAGUCGAACGGUAACAGGCCGCAAGGUGCUGACGAGUGGCGAACGGGUGAGUAAUGCAUCGGAACGUGCCCAGUCGUGGGGGAUAACGCAGCGAAAGCUGUGCUAAUACCGCAUACGAUCUAUGGAUGAAAGCGGGGGACCGUAAGGCCUCGCGCGAUUGGAGCGGCCGAUGUCAGAUUAGGUAGUUGGUGGGGUAAAGGCCUACCAAGCCGACGAUCUGUAGCUGGUCUGAGAGGACGACCAGCCACACUGGGACUGAGACACGGCCCAGACUCCUCCGGGAGGCAGCAGUGGGGAAUUUUGGACAAUGGGCGCAAGCCUGAUCCAGCAAUGCCGCGUGCAGGAAGAAGGCCUUCGGGUUGUAAACUGCUUUUGUACGGAACGAAACGGCCUGGGUUAAUACCCUGGGCUAAUGACGGUACCGUAAGAAUAAGCACCGGCUAACUACGUGCCAGCAGCCGCGGUAAGAC